rnacentral:rRNA from 1 species
AGUGAACGCUGGCGGUAGGCCUAACACAUGCCAGUCGAACGGCAGCACAGUAAGAGCUUGCUCUUACGGGUGGCGAGUGGCGGACGGGUGAGGAAUACAUCGGAAUCUACUUUUUCGUGGGGGAUAACGUAGGGAAACUUACGCUAAUACCGCAUACGACCUACGGGUGAAAGCAGGGGAUCUUCGGACCUUGCCCGAUUGAAUGAGCCGAUGUCGGAUUAGCUAGUUGGCGGGGUAAAGGCCCACCAAGGCGACGAUCCGUAGCUGGUCUGAGAGGAUGAUCAGCCACACUGGAACUGAGACACGGUCCAGACUCCUACGGGAGGCAGCAGUGGGGAAUAUUGGACAAUGGGCGCAAGCCUGAUCCAGCCAUACCGCGUGGGUGAAGAAGGCCUUCGGGUUGUAAAGCCCUUUUGUUGGGAAAGAAAAGCAGCAGGUUAAUACCCCGCUGUUCUGACGGUACCCAAAGAAUAAGCACCGGCUAACUUCGUG